CAGCCGCCGCGGUAAUACGUAGGUGGCAAGCGUUGUCCGGAAUUAUUGGGCGUAAAGCGCGCGCAGGUGGUUUAAUAAGUCUGAUGUGAAAGCCCCCGGCUUAACCGGGGAGGGUCAUUGGAAACUGGGAGACUUAGAGUGCAGAAGAGGAGAGUGGAAUUCCAUGUGUAGCGGUGAAAUGCGUAGAUAUAUGGAGGAAGACCAGUGGCGAAGGCGACUCUCUGGUCUGUAACUGACGCUGAGGCGCGAAAGCGUGGGGAGCAAACAGGAUUAGAUACCCCCGUAGUCCCUGUCUCUUAUU
rnacentral:rRNA from 1 species